UACGUAGGGGGCAAGCGUUGUCCGGAUUUAUUGGGCGUAAAGAGCGUGUAGGCGGCUUGGUAGGUCCGCUGUGAAAACUCGAGGCUCAACCUCGAGAUGUCGGCGGAAACCACUUGGCUAGAGUCCGGAAGAGGAGAGUGGAAUUCCUGGUGUAGCGGUGAAAUGCGCAGAUAUCAGGAAGAACACCUAUGGCGAAGGCAGCUCUCUGGGACGGUAUGCGUGAGGCAGCGAAGGCCAGGGGAGCAAACGGG
rnacentral:rRNA from 1 species